UACGAAGGACCCGAGCGUUAUCCGGAUUUAUUGGGUUUAAAGGGUGCGUAGGCGGGUUAUUAAGUCAGUGGUGAAAGCCUACAGCUUAACUGUAGAAUUGCCAUUGAUACUGAUAAUCUUGAGUAUGAUUGAGGUGGGCGGAAUGUGUCAUGUAGCGGUGAAAUGCUUAGAUAUGACACAGAACACCGAUUGCGAAAGGCAGCUCACUAAGCCAUAACUGACGCUGAUGCACGAAAGCGUGGGGAGCAAACAGG
rnacentral:rRNA from 1 species